rnacentral:rRNA from 1 species
UAGAGGAUGUUUCGGGUGCGACGCGGGUCUAAGUCCUUUGGAACAGGGCGUCAUAGAGGGUGAGAAUCCCGUAUGUGACCCGUGAUCAAGCCCAUGUGAAACCCCUUCGACGAGUCGAGUUGUUUGGGAAUGCAGCUCAAAAUGGGUGGUAAAUUUCAUCUAAAGCUAAAUACUGGCCAGAGACCGAUAGCGCACAAGUAGAGUGAUCGAAAGAUGAAAAGCACUUUGGAAAGAGAGUCAAAAAGUACGUGAAAUUGUUGAAAGGGAAGCGCUUGCAACCAGACCUGUCCGCAGGCGAUCAGCCCUCGUUCUCGGGGGUGCACUCGUCUGUGAUCAGGCCAGCAUCGGUUCGGGCGGUCGGAUAAAGGCCUUGGGAAUGUGGCUCCUUUCGGGGAGUGUUAUAGCCCUCGGUGCAAUGCGGCCAGCCCGGACCGAGGACCGCGCCUUCGGGCUAGGAUGCUGGCGUAAUGGUUGUAAGCGACCCGUCUUGAAACACGGACCAAGGAGUCUAACAUCUAUGCGAGUGUUUGGGUGUCAAACCCAUACGCGUAAUGAAAGUGAACGGAGGUGAGAACCCUUAAGGGCGCAUCAUCGACCGAUCCAGAUGUCUUCGGAUGGAUUUGAGUAUGAGCAUAGCUGUUGGGACCCGAAAGAUGGUGAACUAUGCCUGAAUAGGGUGAAGCCAGGGGAAACCCUGGUGGAGGCUCGCAGCGGUUCUGACGUGCAAAUCGAUCGUCAAAUUUGGGUAUAGGGGCGAAAGACUAAUCGAACCAUC